AUGAACUCCGCCGCUGAGGCUCGGCGAGCGCGCGCGCGGGGCCGCCGCCGCCGCCGCCGCCUGGCCGCUGCCCGAGCCCGCUCGCCGGCCUGCGCGGCCCCCGGAGCGCCCCGUCCCCACGCCCGGCCCAGCCCUGACCCACGCCCGGCCCCGCUCGCACCGCGCCCGGCCGCUGGCGGCUGCCCGCACAUCCUGAAGCUGGCUGGCGCCCCAGAGCUCGGCGAGAACGCGCUUCUUCCGGGCAGCCUCGCCGCGCCGGCCGCCCCCGCGCCCCCGCGCCCGCCUCGCGGACGCAGGGGGCCCCUUCCGCACCCCCGGUCCGCGCUUACCUGCAGCCUGGCACAGCCACAGACACUCGCCGUGGGCUCCCCACGCUCACUGCACGCAGGCCGGGGACGGGAUGGACGCGGGGCGCGGGGGCACGGAGACGAUCCCAGGUACACAGGAGACAGGGAUCACCCUCAAAGCUCCGGAUCCAGCCAAGCCCGCGCCCACGCUCCCGCAUUUACCCAGACACUUUCAGGGAAAAGUCACGGCGGCUGGAGUCCAGAGCCCAUGUCUGGCAGUCGUGAGCCUGGACUCGAUUGCAUUUGCAGCUCGCUCCGGGAGCUCUGAUAAUCAGCACUGUUCUCAUAUCCCUGUUCAGCAAAAGUAAUGGCUCCGUUGCUGUUGAAACCAUGUCGCGUUCCCUCUGACGCGGUGGCUGGGCGGGUGCCGGGCGUCGGACCUGGAAGUCCCUCGGGCUCCCGCGUUUUCUGCUCACCUAAAUACAGGAAGCUGGACAGCAGUACCUCUUUAGAGUCGCCUAUGCUGCUUUAAUACACACCCUUUAACAGCUUUUCGCAAAACACACGCAUAAUUCACAUCUAAAAAUUAAAGCGUGACCUUUCUCUCUGGCUUGUGUGAGGUAACAGGUACAUAGUAAAUAUUUAAGAAAUGAUAUUAUGACUGUAUUAAAUUUUAAAAUCUGUAUAGUCUCAAUUGAUUUCGUAAUAUUGACAUUGGUUUCAACGUUUCGCAAGGAGAUUUUACACAUAUCUUUUUUGAUGUUCACAAAAGCACGGAGAUUAGUAGAUCUAUUGAAUGAAGCAGGAUAGAAUAGACCAGUUCAAUUAUUGGUACGUUGUUUAACUCCUCCACACCUCAGCUUCUCAUUCUCCGACAUGGAGGAAAGGAAAGCACCUAAUAGGGCAAUUAUGGGGAUUAAAUGAAAUAAUGCUCCAAGUACUCAACUCAAAUGUUAGCUCAAUGGUGUUACAUGGCCUGCCCACUCUCCCUAGAUAGUGGGUUUAAGUGUCACGGGCAGGACCCGAACCACCGAAGUUCAUGCUCAUACUUGAUAUCUAUAUGACAGUGUUCCCUCUGACGCCGUGGCUGGGCCUGUUUGCUCUUGUUCACAUAGCUUCUAACAUUACACUUUAAUCCUGUCUAUGUUUUGCGUUUACAGGAUAAUAAUAGCACUAUAUCAUAGGUUACCUUUUCAGGCAAUAAAGCUGUCACUGCAUUUAGCA
rnacentral:lncRNA from 1 species